UCUCGCCCGCAGUCGCACCACCAUCAGAUCGAACGUCGUCAGAUCCAUAUCCAGGUAUCAUCUCUCUCUCUCUCUCUCUCUCUCUCUCUCUCUCUCUCUCUCUCGGCCGGGGGCUGAUCUGAUUCUCGGCCACGGCCGAUCGACUUGCCUUGUAAUCAAUCCCCGGCAGGGAGGGCAGGCAUAUUCCCCUUCAUGAUUUGAUUUGUAUAUAUGCGGUACGAAUUCCUUCUUAUUAUCUUACACACAAGCAAGGGCGUACCCCCUCCCUCUGUAAAGAAAUAUAAGAGCGUUACGAUUUACAGAGGGAGUAAUUAGGUUUGAUUUCAGAGACACCAGGCCUUGUAUUUGGUCUGUCCUCCUUCGCCUCCGCUUAUGCGUAUGGUUGAUGGAUUUGGGGUAUGCAGGGAGGACCGACUAUUUGCUUAUGCUUAUGUUCUAUGAUAGGAGGAGUAGCAGCAAAGUACUAACAGGUAUGAAUAUUAUUAAGGCCAUUUUUGUUACUCCUACUAGUAUAUAUCCCUACCGCCAUACGGCUGACAUUUUUGUACUAACAAACUUACUAACGUAGGGUAGGAUGUGAUGCUGGAAGACAUGAUGAAGCAGCUAUCUGCCUGCCUGCCUAAAUUAUGAUGGAUUUCUGUCAGGUUUCUUGUGUUGCAUCUGAAAACAGAUCGCUGUAUCUAAGCAGAUUCUGUUCUGCAGUUUGUAUGUAGGCUCCGGACCGGAUCGGCUCCUUCCUCUCCAAAAUUUUAACGAGCCAGGGAAAGAAAGUUCUUCGCCAAAACCCUUACCUGGGAGAGGCCUUAUCCAAGGACGGGAGAAAGAAUAGACCAUCAACAAGCACCCAAUCACGGCCGCGUCCUUCUCUUCGUAUGGUAACCACUGUUGAAAUCUGAAAUCCGCUCUUAUUGGGUUUAAUGGCUGCAGGUCAUGUUUCGGUAAUGUUCAUGAGAUGAAUGCAGGCGCAAGAGUAAUUAAAAGGUAGAGCUGAUGAGUGUGGCUUUAUUCACAUGAUUUCUCCGCACGAGCAAUGUCUCCCUACACAUCUGUUUAUGAGCAUCUUCUUAUAUGUGGUCAUGAUCCUCUUUUAUCAUUUUAUAUCUAUCCAUGAUCUAAUGCUCGUUGCAUUGCAGCCUACGGCAUAUGAUCUUGUUCUCGUCGUAUGGCAUCAGUCGGCACCCCUGUGAAACGUACGUCUUACACCCUGAAAGUAGAUCCAUUCCUUAGUGUGAUAUUGGUAUACUCAUCUUUACUACUCCCGUUCCAUAAUAUAAGAGUGUUUUUGACACUACACUAGUGUCAAAAACACUCUUAUAUUACCUAUUUUAUUACAAUAGCAUUUUACCUAUUUCUCCCCGUUGCCUUGCUUCAGUGUCAUAUCACCUAGCUGCCAGGCUGACGUGUGUAACUAGAUGUUCACCUAACUUGUCAGAAUCCCUACAACUUAAAACAAAUUACAAAAACUGAAAAGGCACCCUCAUUCAUAACAAGGCCAAGAUAUGCAACAUGCUGAGUAACACAACACUAGUUAAAGGUCCCAACAGGGGAAGACCAGAGUCCAUGUAUCAGAACAACAAUUUUGAUUUCAGCCACCCCCAGAACACGCUGUAGAGGUCUCCAUAACUUUUCUUUUUCUUGACCGAAGGAGCGCACAGCUCCCAAAGACAUCCAGCAGUUCCUCAAGUGUCUCAUACAUGGCCUAAAUGAUUUACUUGCCGCUAACCAACAAAUUAGCCAAGGAUAAUUUUGUCCUAACUUCUCUAUAAUUAUAUAAUUUGGUCAUUUUGCUGAAAAUAAUACCCCUUACAUAAAGGGAUGGAGAGAUUACAUAGCAGAGCUUGCUAUGACAAAGGAACCAAUCAAAUCCCCAUCCGGGGCACCUACCCCUCAUGGUCUCUUGUCGUUAAGUCAUUUGCCCUACAUAGGGCCGACCCUGGUCUUGAGUUGUGGGAGUUGGUAUCAACAAAAGGCAUCUCUCAAAUGGAUUUGAUCGUCUAUCGUGACUAAGUAGAAGCAUCGGUUCCACAUAGUGAGAGCCUAGUCUUGCAUAGGCGCAAGCAAAAUUGUAGGCGCUCAUCCUUACAGGUGAUUACCGCUAGCUUUUAAAUCCAACCUCUAAGGAAAACAUUGUAAAAAAGAGAGAAUGAGAUUGAUUUGCACCUCGUGACCAACUUUCAACUUGAUGGACAUCAAGUUUGUAUUGUAGAAUACCGAACCACUUCAACUUUUAUUUUCACAACACUAACUUUCGUCUAGUUUACACAUGGGUUUCCACUUAAACAAGCAAACCUUCAACCGGUCUAAAAUCCAACUUUCAAUCGAAUAACUUGGGGAAUUUUACUAGGAAGUCGAUAGCUUUUAGAUGCGACUCUAUAAUCUCCCAUGUUCAUCUACAUUUCAACCAAGACCACAAAUGAUGUGGCACAUGUACCAUAUCUACUAAUUUCCAUAAAAAAACUCAAGCUAGAGUUGUCCAACUCCAAUGCAAAAGGCAUCAACAAAAUUUUCACACAGAAUAGUGAAGUCCCUUUGGGACAAGCAGAACAAGGCAAAAAAGAAAAAGGAAAUGACCAACCAAUGCAAACUAUUUUUUUGCGAGGGAACCAGUGCAAACUACUGACACAUUGCAAGAGCAUAAAUGUUCGGUUUUAAAAUUCCAAUGAUGGUCUUCAAUGAAAGUGAUUAUAUUAUAUGAUUAUUGGCUGAUUUCUGCCAGCAUUAAACAUAUUCACAUUUUAUGCAUAUUUGCAAAAACAAAACAAAAAACAUCAUGGAAAUCAGGGAGAAUGUUAAAGGUUGAAGAUUCUAGAGGAACUAGUGUUGGAAGUGUAAUGUAUGUCAGUAUGUGCACUAAGUCUCGUUGUAUAGUCUGUACAAGAGCAUGUAUAUAUACAUCUAUAUUCAAUCACUGAGAAAGCAUGCAAUAAAUCCACAAAAAAGCCAGUUAAAUCUAACGUACUCCCUCCUUUCGGAAUUACCGCGACAAGUAAUUUAAAACGGAGGGAGUAGAUACUAAGACGGACACAUCGGUGCUACAUAAGGUAAGUAUAUGGUGAAGGAACCACACAAACUCGAUCCCCUGCCCCCCGCGUCGCCUAACCUAGGCGACACGGGGGGCGAUCUGCCGCCGCCGGCCCAAAGGCCUCCUCCCACGUCCUGUCUCCCCUGUCGCCGCCGGAGGCCACGCCCGUAGCAUGGCCUGUGAUGGCGGCGAGAGGGCUUUC
rnacentral:lncRNA from 1 species